AAGCUAACAGCCUCACUAAACAUUGUGUUGGUACAUUAUUUGUUUGAACUUUUGUUAAUGAAUGGGUGAAAGACGUUAAUUGCUAGCUAAAUAUGAAUAGAAUUUGCCCAGAGAAAAUAAUAAAGACUCCAGCAUCAAAGAGAAGCAGCAAAUUAUAGCAGCUAACAAAGAAGUGGCUAGGAGCAACAAAGAUGGCAGCCCUUAUCUGGCAUUGUGAGGGUAUACUUUUGGCCAUCUUUGUACCAGCUGACAACACCAUUUGGACGAGACAAUUCGCAGCUAAGAAUAAUUUCCUCAGGGACAUGACGGUCAAGGUGGACGUCCUCCUUGGGGUAGAUUAUCACCACCGGGGGUUCUGUGAAAGAAGAUUACAUGCACUUGAAACAUUGUCCAUUUCCAUCUUUGUACCAAUGGACAACACCAUCAGCCCUUGAUACUUCACAUGACAGAACAAGCUGUUCGUUUUCCACAACACUCUUGAAAAGGUCCUCCUCUGGGAUAUCAACAAAUGUUACCGGUGGCGCUGCAGAAAACGGUACACAAAAGAAGAGUUUCAACCCAUCCUUGUACCAGUCGACAUGAGCAGAAGGAUCAUCAGAAAGUUCACAGCUGAGGACAAUGGGAGAACCUUCUUGAACGGACUUGGUCCUGUCGCUCUCUUGAAGCUCUGAGAACUUCCCAGCAAACUGGAUGUCAUCAUCCUUUGACUCACAGCGGUAAACGCCAGUGUGAGAUCGCUCGGCUGAUGGGACAACUAGACUCCUCAAAUUUCCCUCUGACUGGAUGUCUACACCAUUUUCAGCAACCUCUGCAAUGCUUCUGCCCCCAUCGGGCAUCUCACAGAGGUAAAUCCCAUCAUCGUCAACUCCGAUGUCACGGAUAGUUAGUCGCCGUUUUGUUCCCCACUCCUCCAUUCCAUAUUUGGCCCCCGGCUGCAGUCGUCUAU